rnacentral:rRNA from 1 species
CGCGGCCUAUCAGCUUGUUGGUGGGGUAACGGCCCACCAAGGCAUCGACGGGUAGCUGGUCUGAGAGGACGAUCAGCCACACUGGGACUGAGACACGGCCCAGACUCCUACGGGAGGCAGCAGUGGGGAAUCUUGCGCAAUGGGCGAAAGCCUGACGCAGCAACGCCGCGUGGGGGAUGAAGGCUCUCGGGUUGUAAACCCCUUUCAGCAGGGACGAAUCAAGACGGUACCUGCAGAAGAAGCCCCGGCUAACUACGUGCCAGCAGCCGCGGUAACACGUAGGGGGCAAGCGUUGUCCGGAUUUAUUGGGCGUAAAGAGCUCGUAGGUGGCUGAGUAAGUCGGAUGUUAAAUCCCCAGGCUCAACCUGGGACACCACCCGAUACUGCUCUGGCUAGAGUCCGGUAGGGGAGCGUGGAAUUCCUGGUGUAGCGGUGAAAUGCGCAGAUAUCAGGAGGAACACCAGCGGCGAAGGCGGCGCUCUGGGCCGGUACUGACACUGAGGAGCGAAAGCGUGGGUAGCAAGCAGGAUUAGAUACCCUGGUAGUCCACGCCGUAAACGUUGGGCACUAGGUGUGGGGUCAAUUCAACGGACUCCGUGCCGUAGCUAACGCAUUAAGUUCCCCGCC